rnacentral:rRNA from 1 species
UACGGGAGGCAGCAGUAGGGAAUUUUCCGCAAUGGGCGCAAGCCUGACGGAGCAACGCCGCGUGAGGGACGAAGGUCUUCGGAUCGUAAACCUUUGUCAAUGAGGACGAUAAUGACGGUACUCGAUGAGGAAGCCCCGGCUAACUACGUGCCAGCAGCCGCGGUAAUA